CUCAGGUCUUCACUCUUGCAAGGCAAGUACUCUACUGACUGAGCUACCUCCCUGUCCUGACUACCACCUACACCCUGCCAUCAUUAUCAUCAUCUUCCCCCUCCUCCUCAUGAAGGCUUCUCCAGCAGGGCAAUGGGACUCAGCCAAGCAGCCCCAACUGCCAGAUGUCCCAGAAACAGCCACAGCUGAGCAUGAUGAAGAAAGAAUGCAACCGGUCUCUGAAAUGAGAUCCUCUGUGGUGGAUGUUCCUUCUUCCUCAGCAUUACUGGCUCCUCUCUGUCUCUGGUUUGCUGGGGUCACCUCCCACCCCAUCUUCCCCACUGGCCUGUUUUCCGGCAUGUGUCUUUUUUCUACCUCUCUCUGUUGUUCACUUGCAGCUGUCAGUGCCUGGUAGCUUCUUGCCAUAUAAUCGUUCAGCUUCUGCUUUUGCUUUUGAGCUGCCCUUGAACUUUCCUGCUGCAUUCCCGGAAGCGAAUCUGGUGGGGCCUGCCACUGGACCCUGCUAAAAGCCACUGCUGGGUCAGAUAAGGCGUGGACACCAGCUUCAAGAUCACCACCAAGGACUUGAAGGAGAAGACGUCGUCGUCGUGGAGGCAGAGAGUGGAAGGGACGCCCCUGCCGAUGAGGACGCUAAUGAGAAAAGUGGGGAGCAGGAGGCUGAGGUGAGACAGGUGAGGAACCGCUGGAGAGGACGGUGAGGCUGAGGCAGCCCGGGCCAGCAGGCAGCUGGAGGAUGGUCGGACAGCGGAGGAGGAAAGGUUAAACUUAAAAGGCCGCCAUGGCGUCUUCACCCCCGACUCUCCGGUCCAGCAUCCAGAUGCAUUUGCCUGUGGGUGGAGACGCUCCCUACAGUGGGCCGUCCCACGGAGAGAUGACACCGGAGAUCCACCACCGCACCAAAACCACAACGUACUUUUGCAACAGGGAGGGAAUAGAUCCCAAACCUCAAGGGUCCCGCAUUUCUCCUCUCAAGCACCUUAAAGGUGUGCUCUGUUGUGCUUAGUCUCAGACUCCUCCACCCCACAGAAACACUACUGAUUUGUAUCCUGUUUUCAGUUCUGCCUCUCCUACCCCAAAUAUCAAUUGCAACUGCAAACUCUGG